UGCCAGCCGCCGCGGUAAUACGGAGGAUGCAAGCGUUAUCCGGAUUUAUUAGGUUUAAAGGGCGUGUAGGCGGCUCCGCAAGUCAGAGGUGAAAUUUCUCGGCUCAACCGGGAACCUGCCUUUGAAACUGCAGGGCUUGAGGUCGUGAGGGGAGACCGGAAUUCCUAGUGUAGCGGUGAAAUGCAUAGAUAUUAGGAAGAACACCAGUGGCGAAGGCGAGUCUCUGGCACGAUUCUGACGCUGAGGCGCGAAAGCUAGGGGAGCGAACAGGAUUAGAUA
rnacentral:rRNA from 1 species